GAGUAAGUAGCUUAAUCGGUAAAGUGUUGGAGUGUACACAUAAGAAUCUACAAUGGAUAAAGGUUCAAGUCCUUUCUUACUCA
rnacentral:tRNA from 1 species